rnacentral:rRNA from 1 species
ACACUCCUACGGGAGGCAGCAGUGGGGAAUAUUGCACAAUGGGCGCAAGCCUGAUGCAGCCAUGCCGCGUGUAUGAAGAAGGCCUUCGGGUUGUAAAGUACUUUCAGCGGGGAGGAAGGCGAUAAGGUUAAUAACCUUGUUGAUUGACGUUACCCGCAGAAGAAGCACCGGCUAACUCCGUGCCAGCAGCCGCGGUAAUACGGAGGGUGCAAGCGUUAAUCGGAAUUACUGGGCGUAAAGCGUACGCAGGCGGUCUGUCAAGUCGGAUGUGAAAUCCCCGGGCUCAACCUGGGAACUGCAUUCGAAACUGGCAGGCUAGAGUCUUGUAGAGGGGGGUAGAAUUCCAGGUGUAGCGGUGAAAUGCGUAGAGAUCUGGAGGAAUACCGGUGGCGAAGGCGGCCCCCUGGACAAAGACUGACGCUCAGGUGUGAAAGCGUGGGGAGCAAACAGGAUUAGAUACCCGAGUAGUCCCAUGAU